GCCAGACUCCUACGGGAGGCAGCAGUGGGGAAUAUUGGGCAAUGGGGGAAACCCUGACCCAGCGACGCCGCGUGAGGGAAGAAGGUUUUCGGAUUGUAAACCUCUGUCCUUGGUGACGAUAAUGACGGUAGCCAAGGAGGAAGCCACGGCUAACUACGUGCCAGCAGCCGCGGUAAUACGCAGGUGGCGAGCGUUGUCCGGAAUUACUGGGUGUAAGGGGGGCGUAGGCGGGAGAGCAAGUCGACUGUGAAAUCUGUGGGCUUACCCCAUAGCUGCGUUCGAAACUGUUCAUCUUGAGUGAGGUAGAGGCGGGCGGAAUUCCUGGUGUAGCGGUAAAAUGCGUAAAUAUUAGGAGGAACACCGGUGGCGAGGGCGGCCUGCUGGACGGAUACUGACGCUGAGGCCCGAAAGCGUGGGGAGCGAACAGGAUUAGAUACCCGUGUA
rnacentral:rRNA from 1 species